rnacentral:tmRNA from 1 species
GGGGUUGACUGGUUUCGACAGCAAGAUCGAUGGAUAAGUAAGCAUGCAGAGAACCGUAGCGCGAUCUCUUAAAUCCCUUGCUACAAACUUUUAACUGGCAACGAAGAGUUCGCUCUUGCAGCUUAAUCUGAAUAAAGUAGGAUUCAAGCGCUCUCCCGAAGAUAGUAAGGAGGCAAGAUGUCUCACAAAUGCUCCGUUCUGCGGCGUUUGAUUCUGAGGCAUAGCAAUGCAGAAAUAAGUCUCGAAAGACUUCGGUUCGAGAUCGAAAACUAAAGAAGUUAAGUCGGUGAUUGGGUGUCUGUUCUCUGUCUCCGGUCGAAAAUCAAUAGCAGAAUAAGCAUGUAGAAGCCUUAUGUGUUGCUUGUUUGGACGAGGGUUCGAAUCCCUCCAACUCCACUA